rnacentral:rRNA from 1 species
AUCUACUGCCACACUACCCGGAAUCCACCCAAUUUCAUCUAACCUCAGAAAUAAAGCAGGGUUGGGCCUGGUUGGGCCUUGGAAGGGAGAAAAUGUUUCUCCUAGUAACAAUUUAAUUAUAGGAGUAGAAGUUG